rnacentral:lncRNA from 13 species
CAGGUGAGCGCGGCCGGGCCUGGCCUCCCGCCGGCACCGGGGCGGCGCCGGGGCCGCGCCGUCCCCGCCCCGGGCACUCCCGGGACAUCCCGGCCGCCCCCUGGGCGGCAGCGGCGGGCCCGAGGGCGGCAUCGGCCGCUGCGGGCGCAGCUCCCGCCGGGACCCGCGGCUUUCCCCGCGCUCGCGCCCCGCGGUGGGGGACACCCCGGGAGGGCGGGGGUCCCUCCCCGGGCAGCGCAACCCGGGGCAUUCCCUGGAACGGGGACUCGGGGCGGGCUCGGGGCCGGCGGGGCCGCUGCGCUGCCCUCCCCGCUGAUGGAUUGAAUCCUGUUCCGGUCAUUGGCUUUGUCAGGGCUUUGUUCCUUCCCCUUUGCUCUCCCCGUUUGGCGCCGGAGCCGCUCCGGGAUGGAGCGGGCCGGCACCGGCACGGGCUGCGGGGCUCUGGGGGCGGCUCUGGGCGGCUUCGCGGGGCUGCCGUGCUCGGGGAAUUGGCUUCGGGCGGCUGCUGCCGAAGUGUCUGCCUCAGAGUUUGUACCAAAACCAAAGUGAAGUUGGUGUCACCUUCUCUAAACUGGGAGAACAGAUCACUCCAAGCUGUGGGGAGAUGGAGAGGCUGUAGGAUGGAGAGGGAGCAUCUGGAAACGAGUCAAGAAACUUUAACAGAUUCCAUUUAGCUAGAGCAGGGUUAGAUAUUAGUGAAAUAUCUUGCUAACUGUGUUAAACUAAGAAAAUAAGCAAUCAAGUUCAUAGAAUUGCAAAACUCAGGAUGAAAGAACUCGUGUGGCAGUUAUUCUUCUCUUGCAGGAUGGUUCCUUCUGUGCAAUCACUAAUGACUGACGAGACCCUCUGCAGCUUGUGAAAUGACAGGGCUGCUGUCAGUGCUUAGGAAAUCCAAGUGCACAGCCCCUGCUCCUUCCUUGUCACCGAGCCGCUCUCGUGAGCGCAGUCAGCCCCAAGUGCUGAACUUGUGCUGUUCUCUGCCUGUGGCUCUCUCCUGCAGGGAUCCAGGUUUAUUCUCUUUUUAGCUGCUUGCACUAGAUGCCCAUAUUCCAGCUGAAUUAACACUUCCCAGUCUGGAGCAGUGCUGGUGCUCUGAGGUGACCGUGUGCCGUGCUCAGAGCUCGGCGUGGCACAGCUCCCUGGGGCUGGGCCAGUCUCAGACGUGCGGCCAAAAUUCUGUGUUUCCUGGAGCUGGGAGGUUGUUUGCCUCGUGCACUCAUGUCUCAUUCGGUGUCUGCCAUCUCCCCAGGCUCUCAGACCUUUACUACUUUCCAAGUUUCUUUCUUCAGCUCCAUCUUUCAAACGCCUCUUUUCCCUAACACUGCCACUUCUCCCCAGUGCUUGGAGUUCCUCAGGUUGUCCUGUCUCUUGUUCUUACUUGGUUCAUUAAUUCUUGCUGAUGAAUGUAAAACCUGGGUUAUUAACUGCCAGUAGCACCAGGUACCAGCAGGAAAAAAUAUCUCUUUGCACUCCAUACUGUACAAACAUGGAAUAAGGGAAGUUCUUGCCCUGAAGUCUUGAACUAAUUUUCUUCUGUUAACAGCUCAUUAAGAGAAAUCUUCCUGCUCAUCUUUUCAUGGAAAACAACACGUCAUGAGGCAGCUCAGAGCCCCCUUUUACUGAUUUUUUUUUUUUUAACAGUUCAUCUUCGUUUUUAUUCAUGUCACAACAUUUAUUGAUAAAUUUCUUGAAUGUGCUGCUUUCAUGUUUUAUAAUUAAACA